UGUCUCGGUCGGAUGUGGAACGGUUUGUGCCGGUCCGCCAAUCGGCUCGGGACAUUGACCGACGCGGAUUGUGAUGGUGGCCCAAGCCUGGGUUGUUGAAAUGCUCGCGGAGACGUCAUCAUCACGAUUGUGGGCUACAGCGCGCGCUGAUUCGGCGUGCUUCGGCACAUGCGCGCUCCUGGCGUCGGCCUGUGGGCUCCCCAUUCGACCCGUCUUGAAACACGGACCAAGGAGUCUGACAUGUGUGCGAGUCAACGGGUGAGUAAACCCGUUAGGCGCAAGGAAGCUGAUUGGUGGGAUCCUCUUGUGGGUUGCACCGCCGACCGACCCCGAUCUUUUGUGAAGGGUUCGAGUGAGAGCAUACCUGUCGGGACCCGAAAGAUGGUGAACUAUGCCUGAGCGGGGCGAAGCC
rnacentral:ncRNA from 1 species